ensembl:lncRNA
GGGGGUCAGGUAGAGAGUUAGGUCAGGUAGGGAGGUCAGGUAGAGAGUUAGGUCAGGUAGAGAGGUCAGGUAGAGAGUUAGGUCAGGUAGAGAGUUAGGUCAGGUAGAGAGGUCAGGUAGAGAGUUAGGACAGGUAGGGAGGUCAGGUAGAGAGUUAGGUCAGGUAGGGAGGUCAGGUAGAGAGUUAGGUCAGGUAGAGAGGUCAAGUAGAGAGUUAGGUCAGGUAGGGGGGUCAGGUAGAGAGUUAGGUCAGGUAGGGAGGUCAGGUAGAGAGGUCAGGUAGAGAGGUCAGGUAGAGAGUUAGGUCAGGUAGGGAGGUCAGGUAGAGAGUUAGGACAGGUAGGGAGUUAGGUCAUUUAGGGGGGUCAGGUAGAGAGUUAGGACAGGUAGAGAGUUAGGUCAGGUAGGGAGGUCAGGUAGAGAGUUAGGUCAGGUAGGGGGGUCAGGUAGAGAGUUAGGUCAGGUAGAGAGUUAGGUCAGGUAGAUAGGUCAGGUAGAGAGUUAGGUCAGGUAGAGAGUUAGGUCAGGUAGGGAGGUCAGGUAGAGAGUUAGGUCAGGUAGGGAGGUCAGGUAGAGAGGUCAGGUAGAGAGUUAGGUCAGGUAGAGAGGUCAGGUAGAGAGUUAGGUCAGGUAGGGAGUUAGGUCAGGUAGAGAGUUAGGACAGGUAGAGAGUUAGGACAGGUAGGGAGUUAGGACAGGUAGUGAGUUAGGUCAGGUAGGGAGAUCAGGUAGAGAGUUAGGUCAGGUAGGGAGGUCAGGUCGAGAGUUAGGUCAGGUAGGGAGGUCAGGUAGAGAGUUAGGUCAGGUAGGGAGGUCAGGUAGAGAGUUAGGUCAGGUAGGGAGGUCAGGUAGAGAGGUCAGGUAGAGAGUUAGGUCAGGUAGAGAGGCCUACGUCACCAUAGAGAAGAGCCGUCCGUCCAUCUGUCCACCAGAGAGACCGCUGAAUGCUAAAACAAACUGUCACAUAUCCACAACAUCCACACCUAUGAACUUGGACACAUAAUGAUUGUGGUUCCUUUGAAUGGCUAUAGAUCAAUACAAACAUAUGCUAUAGAUGCUAUAUGCUAUAGAUCAAUACAAACAUAUGCUAUAGAUGUUAUACGCUAUAGAUCAAUACAAAC